CUUAAUUCGCGGAAAUUCGACAGUUGUCCGGAUCUGUGAAUUUCGGGCCAGACAGACCCGUGACCGGAAAAGUCUCCGAAUUGGGCCGAGGUUUUGGCUAGCCCCCCAUUGUCAGACGUCCCGAGCGCGUCCCCGAAGUCGGAAUCGGCAAAGGUGAGCCGGGACAGCCUUCUUCCUCCGCCCAGCCGCCACAGUAAUUUGUCGUCAAGUCUGCCACAGGAGGAUAUUUUAUUCUGGGUUAACCUGCUUUUCUACCUCGCAGGUUGUUUAUCAAUAUUUGUGUAAUUUUAAUUACUCCUAGAAUUUCCGCAUGUGUUAGCAGAAAUUAUUUGAUUAUGGUCUGUAAUAUUGUUAUCAUGUUGGACCUGUAAACUAAAUAUGCUAUGCAUGUUUGAUGGAUUGGAUGAGGGAGCUGAGCUCCCAUUUAUUUUA